rnacentral:rRNA from 1 species
CGCAUCUGUGCAUGCAGCAUAUCAAUAACGGAGGAAAAGCGCAUUAAAGAUCCAGAUACCUACGCUUAGGAUGUUGACACACGCGCGUGCUCGACUCUAUACAUGACUCUGUGCAUAUCAAUAAGCGGAGGAAAAGGAGUAUACCUACGCUUAGGAUGUUGACACACGCGCGUGCUCGACUCUAUACAUGACUCUGUGCAUAUCAAUAAGCGGAGGAAAAGAAACUAACAAGGAUUCCCUUAGUAACGGCGAGUGAAGCGGGAAGAGCUCAAAGUUGAAAUCUUCAAGGUUUUACCUUGACGAAUUGUAGUUUAAAGAAGUGUUUUCUGUUGAAGGUUUUGGUAAAAGUUCUUUGGAAUAGGACAUCAUAGAGGGUGAGAAUCCCGUAUUUGACCAUUAUUUUCAGCUGUGUGAUACACUUUCAAAGAGUCGGAUUGUUUGGGAAUGCAGUCCAAAAUGGGUGGUAAAUUUCAUCUAAAGCUAAAUAUUGGCGAGAGACCGAUAGCGAACAAGUACCGUGAGGGAAAGAUGAAAAGAACUUUGAAAAGAGAGUUAAACAGUACGUGAAAUUGUCAAAAGGGAAGCGUUUGACACCAGUGUUGUUUUCUCGAAAAUCAAUUAAAAAGAGUUUGAUUUUGUUGUGUAUUGACCUUAACAGCUUGCAUUUCAAUUUUCUUGCUUUUUUUAAUGCACCUUUCGUUUAACAAGUCAACAUCAGUUUCUUUUGUUGUAAAAAGGUCAUUGGAAGGUGGCUUUCUUUUCGGAGAAAGUGUUUAUAGCCUUUGACUCCUGCAAUCGGAGAGACUGAGGUCUGCAGCGUAGAUCCUUCGGGGUUAGAUACAUUUGUGCUAAGUUAUAGCUUUUUAUAGACAACUUGUUGACUAUGAUUAGUCUUGUAGCUUACUCGCUUAUGCUAUUUUACCUACGCUUAGGAUGUUGACACACGCGCGUGCUCG